UUGAAUCAUUAGAAUCUGUUGAACAAGAAUAUAUGGCUGGAAGUGAAGGAACUCACGUUAUGGAUGACAACCAGGAAGGACUCUACGAUGAUGCUGAGAUUGACUAUGAUAAUUAGUAUAUAAUAUGCAUGGUUCAUAUAGUUGCUGUAGUGGUGAUGGUAGUAGCUGUGGCAGCGGUAGUAUUUGUAGUAGUAGCAGUAACAUUAAUAUGAGUAGUAGUAAUAUCUGUAGCAGCACUUGUGAAUUUUCUUGUGUGCUAUAUAUGUGCUGAGUUUUUGGGGUUUGUAUAUUAUUUUGCUGUUAUCGCUCGAGGCUUGUCUUGAGCUGUAUCUAUGGUACUGUAAUAACCGGAACCAAUGCGAUGUUUCUGCUAUGCUACUCUGAUGUGCAUAUCUCUGAGUAAACGGUGUUUAUGAAGAUAUAUGCUAUAGACUUAUAUUCUACUCUUGUUGUGGAAUAUGUGGGUCGUUUCACUUAUCUUGGAACAUUUCCAUUAUGUGGGUGAUGAAGAAAAAGUUACACAGGGAAUGCUAAAUGGUCUAAUUGCAGUGGGCUGCAACUACUUGAUCCUGAUCAUGUGUGCUGCUAUAAUCACAACAACAUUUCAUCUUGCUAUGAUUACAACUCAAGGCAACAACGUAUAUGGGACAAAUCAAUUGCAUGAGAAGCUCAUUGCCAGAUUGAUUCCUUUGACCACGAGAGGAUUGCCCCUGCCAAUUCAUGGUAAUGGCUCAAAUGUCAGAAACUAUUUGUAUUGUGAUGAUGUUGCUGAAGCUUUUGAGGUGGUUCUUCACAAGGGUCAGGUCAGCCAUGUGUAUCAUAUCGGUACUGCGAAGGAAAGAAGGGUGAUUGAUGAGGCUAAGGACAUAUCGGUAUGAGAUUCUAUCCUUUGGCCAAAACUGAAGCAUGUUGAUGUACAGGAGGAUGGAAACAACAGGUGGACUAGAGAUUUUUCAAGUAGAAGCAUUGUAUUGAAAGGGCGAAAAGAUUGUGGACUUUGUUGGUGUGCACUGGAUGUUAUCAGGGACGUGAAAGUUGAUCGGGUCCUGCAACUUUUGAAGCAAUAUGGUUCAGCAAAAUUGGUGAUCAUUAAUUCCUUGAGUAUACCAUGGGAUCCAGGCGGCUCUCGUGUGACAUUGGCUGGGCGUUCUUCUUGUCACAUUGGCUACAUUACAAGAGAAGUAUUAACAGAGGAAAUCAAGUAUAAAUCAUUGCAUCAAACAUAUCCGUUGGUGAAGUUUCCACAAUUAAGGUCAUCGGCUUGGGGACAAGCCGAAUUUUAAGAAAUGGGGAUUGUUAGGAACUCUUGUGGGCUGCAAUGUGGGUCAGUUCAGUGGCCUUCUAAGCCUAGCCCAACCAAGACAAGGAGGAGAACUACAAAACAGCAAAGCUACACUUUCAGGGGCUAUCGCAAGAUCAAUUGGCGAACGGCGACGGCGGCGGCGACCUGGUGGCCAGUUGGCACCUUGUCGAUUUCCUUCCAACCUACCUUCCUUCUCCCUCUAUCUUCUCCAUCUUCCACCACUUGUAUCCCUUAGUUCAUCCUCCUUCCACCUCUAUUUACUGGAGUAUGGUUGCUAUUGUAUUGGAUGCUUGCAUAUUUGAGUGGAAUUGAGAUCAGAGGUUGGAGUUCCUAACACACCGCCAAUGUUCGGCCCUGCGACAUGAAAGGUAGGUUUCCUCCAAGACCAGCAGCAACGGUGUAUAGGCUACACAGAUCUACAGCCAUGCCAUGCUGAGUCAGGUCCGAUCUACAGCCAUGCCAUGCGGAAUCAGGGUGCCGUUGCUCUCCUGGUUUGGAGGUUGGACCAUUUUCUAAGUCAUCUUUAGAUUUCAUAAAAAUAAUAUUAAAGUGAUUAGAAGAAAUUAAGUUAUCCUAAUUCGUGUCUCAAAGUUGGUAAUCGACAACACACUUCGUUAGAACAUAAUAUGUUUUUUUUCAUCAAAAUCAACAGCUCUCGAGUCCAAACAUCAUUGGAAGCUUUUUGGCUCCAUGGCAGAUUAUUUUUUCUUUUAUCCCAUAGUUAUUUUUCUGUGUCGCACUGCUCUACCUCUGGAAUUUUCAUAAUUCCAUAAUUCAAGCAAAAGUGUUUCAAUAUUUUUUUAUACUAUUUUUGGUAAUAGCAUCGAUUUCAUGCCAGUGGCAAGCCUAUCAAGUAUUUUAAUCAAAGAAUGGAACGCUUUUUGUAGAUGUACAGGGAAAAUGGAAAUGGUACAGGUAUUUCAUAUUGUCCUACGAGGUAAUAUUUCUUCACUCGGUAAUCUGUUCAGUCAAUGAAAAGUUGUGCAAUCUCCUGACUCUUUCAGGACAUCGACAUAACUACUACAUGGACAGGGAAGAGUUAUGAGGCUUCUUGCUGUUGGUGCAAAUGGACUUGCAAUCAAAUCAAAUGCCCUGUCAUGAGAAGGAAGAGGUGGCCUGGCCAGCCGAGGUCGCGACCGAUGUGCUUGCAAUCAGCGGCAAAGUGGAAGCUAGAGCAGCCGGAUGUCAGCGAGAGCAUGCACUGCCUCAAUCAUGAGCUUGCAUCGCCGAGCUUAAUUCGGAGUCUGCCAUCAACAUAGGUCAUCUUUCCUAACCAACCUCAAUUUGUUUACUUGGUCCACAUCUUUGGCUUCGUACCUCAAGUUUGAUGUAAUUCCUUCAUUUAUGCGCCGGUUAAGUUAUUGCUUGGUUUGCUCUUGUUAUUAAUGAAUUCUUACUAUUUAUAUGAGCAUCUUACAUGACAAAUGCAGAUUGCUACUUACUUUGUCUAGGUAUAUUCACAAGGUCAUUUUUCUUAAAAGUUGAAUUGUUCCCUCUAAAUGAAGGCUUAUUCAACCUAUAGGAAUAAGUUUUUAAAAGUUGAAUUGUUCCCUAGCCUGAAGCAAAUCUCUUUCCUGUUUGAACUCUACAGGAAUGAGCAGUAAUGAGGCUUGAAGGUGAUACAGUUAUCGACUUGAAAUUGUAGUCGGAUAAAGUAUUUGAUUAUUUGCCUCCACAUUUGAUUCGUAUAUAUUAGUUUAACAAAUACAUAAUUGAAAGUGAAGGAUCUGACCUAUAACUGACGCCUAAUGGUAGGCAUUUAAAGGAAUCUGAAAUUGUAACUAACUUUCUUUUGUACGAAAGAAUUCAAAUACAUAAAUGUGCAGAUGCAGCGAGGCUUUUUCAGAAACAAAUAUGAUUCUUACUGUUAAAAUAUCCUCUACCUGGCAGACAUCUAAGGAAGUGUACUCAUUUGAAUUCUGAUUUUGCUUUUUCUCAGGGUUGUUUCAUGUUCUAAAGAGUGUCAUCUGCAAUGCGAUAGCUUUAGAGAGAUGAAAGUCCAAUUAUGCUAGAUUAUCAGUUUUUUUGCAAGGAUGCUAGAAUAUCACUUUGACUUGUUUGGUACUGUCCAAUGCCAAUAGUGGCAAUGAAGACAACUCUUUAUACAUCAUCAGAGGAAAUGCUGACUCCAUUAUUUGUGAUAGAAAAUGUUAAACAUGGUGGAAGCAGGGGAGUAGAAUGUGGAGCAAAUAUAAAUAUAUUUUGAAGCUAGGCAGGACAUGAGGGUGCUCAUACAAAUUUCUAUACUCUAGCUAGCGCUGGAAUGGUCCUACUUCUUUCAUUUACAACAUAUCAGCUUGGUUUCCCAUUUGGACUUAAAACUGUAAAUAUGGCAAGCAUGUAGAUAAAGUUGAUCCUACAUGCAUGCCACAACUUAUCAGACAUACCGUCUGCAUACUCUGAUUGUACAUUCAUGUCCAUACAGGGGAGUAAGUUCGGUAAAUUCAUCUUAGUGAACAGAACAUUUGUGCAUUUCAUUCAAUUUUUUGUUUUGUGGUGAUGAGAAGACUAUGUCAUUUGUUAUUCUUCUAUAAGAAAAUAAUUUGUUAUUCUUGUGUAAGAAAAUUGUUUGUUAUUCUUCUAUCUAUACUAAUAUAAAAAGCAUGAGUUUACCCUGCAAUCCAACUGGUGAAAUCACCUAUACCGUGUCUAAUCCAUCACCCACGCAAUCCUUGCCGCUCCAUCCUCCUGGCGCAAACAAUGCCACCAGCCACCACGCCCUCCUCCCUGAAUGAGCCUCAUUACUCCAGUAUAUGCUCCUCCCUAUUAGCGCCACUCCAUCGCUAUUCGUUGCGUUGGUCGAUCAUCGUUGCCACUCGCUAAGCGUCUCGACCGCUGGUUAUUGUUGUGGCGCACCGACAGCUUUCACCAUGACCCCCGGCCACUGGUCCUCGCUGCACGCUGCUGCAUGAUGGCCAUGGUGGCUCUCGAGUGUGGAGACGACAGGGCGAAGGGUGGAGUGAUGUCGAGGCUAGCGGAAUCAAGCAGAUCUAGAGGCCACGUCGCCGGCCGGCCUGUCCGUCGCCACCUAGGCGCUCGCCUCUCAGCCCUCCCGCCUUUAGCUGCUGCCGCGUCGACUGCCACCUUAGGAUUUGAAGGUGGUGCUCUACAACAGGGACGGCGCCACUGUGCCACCAUGGUCAUGAUGGCCCUGGUCCCUGGAGGUCAGGAGGGCAGGGAGGAGACCUCGCUCCGUGACCCCGACGCCGCCGCCGCCGCCGCCGGUUCCUGCACCAUCGUGGGCUCGCGGCAAUGUCGCCCCCUUACAUCUUCUGUGCCGCGCCAUCCAUCACCAUUCACCACGGUCACUCUGUUUCCAUAUCUAUGUCCACGGUUCAUUUGGGUUCUGGUAAGGGAGUUCCUACUCAUCCGAGUCCACAUUUCGGUUCUUCAGUUUUGUUCCGGUAAGGCAAUUUCUAAUUUUCGUUGACUGCCCCGCUUGCUGAUUUCCCUUCCUACUUUUCGUGGACAUCAGGAAGAGGAGGUCCACUGCCAUGUGUGUGAGAGCGACUUGAUCUAAUUUUUCAUGCUUGUGGUGUACAUUGAAAUUUUCUUCACGAUUAUCGUCCUUGCUAUGAAAUGCUUAUGCUAAUGAUUUGAUUGGUAAUCUUUCGAUAUGGAUUGAUCACUGAAUACUGAUGCAUUGGAUCCUUGGAGUGACCGUACAAUGCUUUGCAUUUCUAAUCGUUGUCCCCUACUUUAUACUUCAUUCAGUUCAUGGUAUAUCUCAUUAAUCGAGAAGAAAUUGAUAUGGUACCAAACGAGAUAAGACAAACAAGUUCUUGGACUGUAUGUGGUUACUUUUAAAAGUUAGCAUUCUAACAAGUAUGUUUGUAUAACUUUUUUUCGGUUAUAAUUUCCUUUUUUAUUUGAGUGAAUGCUCAGGUUAUAAUUUUAAUAGUAUAUUGUUAUCUAAAUAAAUGCGGCGCGAAGGUCAUGAGGUAGUUCUGAAAUUUCAGAGAAAUCUUCGAAGAUUUAUAUUUGGAAAAUUCAUAAACAGAGAUAAUGGCAAAUCCCUGGUUUUUGACCAUGGAACUGGAGAGUACAUUUAUCACCAAUGUUGCAUUAGAGUUUGUUUUCAAUAUCUGGAAAUUUUCUUAUUAAUUAUUGGCACCGUGUACAUGAAGCUUUUAUUGUUGAAGUCUCAAUUAACUUCUUACUCCAUUUUGUGUUCCAUGGAAUAUUCUUCUCCUUUUCAUCCCUGAAGCUAAUUUUUGUGUCUUCUUUUUAUCAGGCGAGUGAAUGAAUUUUCUUUUAAUUAGAAAGGUUACCCCCUCCCAUUUCUACUAAAUUAAACUGAUAUGUUUACAGCACAAGAGUCAUCCAGGCUAACAACAAGAAAACGAAGAACUGAUUUUACUUCUUCAUAAACAGGUGCAGAAAUUAGAUAGAAAGAUAACACAAUAUUAAGAUUGCUAGAAAAGAGUUCUAGUUUGCAUGGAGCAAUAACCCUUCCAGUCCGUCAGUUCCAUAUUACUGAAUGUAAAUUAUCGGUAAUAAGAAAUAUCUCAUAGUUUCUUAUUACCGAAUGCUAAUCCAUUGAUUUAAUUUCAGUUCUGGGCUUUUGUCAUCAUGUAUAAACAAAUAAUACCUUCGAGGAUUUUAUUGCCUUCUUAGUUCAAUUUUGGUAAUAUAUUUCUCCCAUGAUGGGAAUCAUGUCCCUUUUUACAGCUUACAUCAAGAUUCUUAAACUAGACUGUUCAUUUUACUUCUGCAGAUUAUUUCACUACUUUCUUGGUUUUAUUUCCUGUCAUCAGAUUUUACAUUCACAUGUACAAAUGAAGUAAUGGUUACCAUUAUUUUUGCUUGCUCUAUAUGUAUGCACCCAUAUGGCUUUUUACUAACCAAGCCGUAGUAUACUGGUAUCUGAUCCGGCUAGCUUGAUCCUCAUAUCCUUCCAUACAUUAUGGCAUUUCCGUUUGCCAGCCAAUGGAGUGCGCUCCUUUUUGCUCUAUCCUUUUUUUAUAUAAAGUUUUAUUGUGCUCCCCUGUAUUUUCCAAUAUUGUGAUUCCUUCAACAGAUCCACACAUUGCUUACGAUACAUGACUUUAGUUUUUUUGUCUAAAACUUGAUGUGCGCUUUUCUUUUGCAGUAUUUUUGUUGAAGUCAAAUUUCAAUGGCAAAUCAAUUUAAACCAUCUUAUACUUAAAUGGCUGGGAAGUUAGCUAUAAGCAGGUUAAUGGUGUAGAUCCUCUGGUCAACCAUUUCCACCAUCACCCUCUGGAUCAAGCAGUUGUCAUCCUCAAGAUUGCCCCACAACUAUUGAGGUUGAGUUCGCAUGUCGCCACUACCCUCGAGUUCCCCCGCUAGCUACUAUUUCUAAACGGGUGAAGGCUACGGUGGCAAGAAAGACCUACUCCGAACUAUGUUUUUGUGUAUGCCUGGACAACAUGUGUAGCGGUGAUAACUAAUGAGUGAUCGACUGGUGAUUGAUUAAUGAUCAUGUGUUAUUGUGUUGUUGCUUAAUAUGAGAAUUUGAUGGAUAGUGUUGCUGAGGGGAAAUUCUUGGGUACAAAUUUGUUGUACUGCUUGUUGCUGCAAUGCUGUUGCAACUGAAUAAGUAAUAAACUGAUGAUGUGCAUUUGUGAAUU